UAGCGGAGGAAAAGAAACUAACAGGGAUUCCCUUAGUAAGUGCGACUGAAACGGGAUGAGCCCAGCGCAUAACUUCGUAGUCCCAUACCAGGGCGCGAGGGGUGUUGCGUUUCAGAGGGUCUGGCACGACGUCCCCCACCGCCUAAGUCAUGCUUGAAAGCAGCCACUACCCAUGGAGGGUGAAAGGCCCGUGUGGCGGCACCCGUGAGGGUAUUUGGGGGGCGUUCGGAAAGGGCCUCUCUGUAGAGUCGGGUUGCUUGGAAGUGCAGCCCAAAGCAGGUGGUAAACUCCUUCUAAAGCUA
rnacentral:rRNA from 1 species